AGUCCUGUUACACAUGUGUGUUUACUACAGGUUAGUCCUGUUACACAUGUGUGUUUACUACAGGUUAGUCAUGUGUGUUUACUACAGGUUAGUCCUGUUACACAUGUGUGUUUACUACAGGUUAGACCUGUUACACAUGUGUGUUUACUACAGGUUAGACCUGUUACACAUGUGUGUUUACUACAGGUUAGACCUGUUACACAUGUGUGUUUA